rnacentral:rRNA from 1 species
UACAGAGGUCCCAAGCGUUGUUCGGAUUCACUGGGCGUAAAGGGUGCGUAGGUGGUGAGGAAAGUCUGAUGUGAAAUCUCCAGGCUCAACCUGGAAAUGGCAUUGGAAACUACCUUGCUCGAGGAGUGGAGGGGGGACUGGAAUGCUCGGUGUAGCAGUGAAAUGCGUAGAUAUCGAGCGGAACACCAGUGGCGAAGGCGAGUCCCUGGACACUUCCUGACACUGAGGCACGAAAGCUAGGGGAGCAAACAGG